AGUGAACGCUGGCGGUAGGCCUAACACAUGCAAGUCGAACGGCAGCACAGUAAGAGCUUGCUCUUACGGGUGGCGAGUGGCGGACGGGUGAGGAAUACAUCGGAAUCUACUUUUUCGUGGGGGAUAACGUAGGGAAACUUACGCUAAUACCGCAUACGACCUACGGGUGAAAGCAGGGGAUCUUCGGACCUUGCGCGAUUGAAUGAGUCGAUGUCGGAUUAGCUAGUUGGCGGGGUAAAGGCCCACCAAGGCGACGAUCCGUAGCUGGUCUGAGAGGAUGAUCAGCCACACUGGAACUGAGACACGGUCCAGACUCCUACGGGAGGCAGCAGUGGGGAAUAUUGGACAAUGGGCGCAAGCCUGAUCCAGCCAUACCGCGUGGGUGAAGAAGGCCUUCGGGUUGUAAAGCCCUUUUGUUGGGAAAGAAAAGCAGCAGGUUAAUACCCCGCUGUUCUGACGGUACCCAAAGAAUAAGCACCGGCCAACUUCGUG
rnacentral:rRNA from 1 species